rnacentral:rRNA from 1 species
CCUACGGGCGGCUGCAGUGGGGAAUAUUGGACAAUGGGGGGAACCCUGAUCCAGCCAUGCCGCGUGUGUGAAGAAGGCCCUCGGGUUGUAAAGCACUUUCAGUGAGGAAGAACGCCUGGUGGUUAAUACCCAUCAGGAAAGACAUCACUCACAGAAGAAGCACCGGCUAACUCCGUGCCAGCAGCCGCGGUAAUACGGAGGGUGCGAGCGUUAAUCGGAAUUACUGGGCGUAAAGCGCGCGUAGGUGGCUUGAUAAGCCGGUUGUGAAAGCCCCGGGCUCAACCUGGGAACGGCAUCCGGAACUGUCAAGCUAGAGUGCAGGAGAGGAAGGUAGAAUUCCCGGUGUAGCGGUGAAAUGCGUAGAGAUCGGGAGGAAUACCAGUGGCGAAGGCGGCCUUCUGGACUGACACUGACACUGAGGUGCGAAAGCGUGGGUAGCAAACAGGAUUAGUACCCCAGUAGUC